GAUGAAGAACGUAGCGAAAUGCGAUAAGUAAUGCGAAUUGCAGAAUUCAGUGAGUCAUCGAAUCUUUGAACGCACAUUGCGCCCUGUGGUAUUCCGCAGGGCAUGCCUGUUCGAGCGUCAUUUCAACCCUCAAGCCCCGCUUGGUGUUGGGCCCCGCCCGCUGUGGCCGGCCCUAAAGACAGUGGCGGCGCCGCCUGGCCCUCAGCGUAGUACAUCUCUCGCUCCAGGGUCCGGUGGCCGACUGCCAGAACCCCCCAACUCUGUGGUUGACCUCGGAUCAGGUAGGGAUACCCGCUGAACUUAAGCAUAUCAAUAAGCGGAGGA
rnacentral:misc_RNA from 1 species